rnacentral:rRNA from 1 species
UACGUAGGCAGCGAGCGUUGUUCGGAGUUACUGGGCGUAAAGCGUGCGCAGGCGGUUUUGUAAGCCAGGUGUGAAAUCCCCGGGCUCAACCUGGGAAUGGCAUUUGGGACUGCAAGGCUGGAGUGCGGCAGAGGAGACUGGAAUUCCUGGUGUAGCAGUGAAAUGCGUAGAUAUCAGGAGGAAUACCGAUGGCGAAGGCAGGUCUCUGGGCUGACACUGACGCUCAUGCACGAAAGCGUGGGGAGC